rnacentral:misc_RNA from 1 species
GUUUUCUCCGCUUAAUUUCUUUCCCCUCUAUUUUUCACACAUCCAAACAAGGGGUUAGUUGUCACACUUAAUUUCCUUCCUCUCUAUUUUCAUUGACGUGUUAGUCACGCAAGCUUCUACCAGCAGCCUAAGCUUCUUCCAAAAAGAAGACGGCAAAAGCAAGAUUCCCAGUUUCCCACUCAACCAAGGCAAUGAAAAAUAAUUUGAGAAAACAAAAUGAAAAUUAAAAAAUAAAUCGCCGGAAGCUACUUUUAACUGUCAAAACAGCAUUUUACACGCCGGAAAACAGCUACUUGGAAACGCAGAGAGGGAAAUAAUAACACGGAACGAAACGAUUAAAAGGAAAACCGAUUAGAUCUCUAGAAUUGAACACAAAAUAUAUCAGUUUAUAUAUAUAUAUAUGAUAGAAAAUGAUUGAUGUAUACGUACCAUAUUGAAGAGACAAAGAAGC